rnacentral:tRNA from 1 species
GGAGGCUGUGGCUCACUGCUAGACUAUCUGCUUUGCAUGCAGAAGGUCUCAGGUUCAACUCCUGGCAUCUCCA